rnacentral:rRNA from 1 species
GUGGGGAAUCUUCCACAAUGGACGCAAGUCUGAUGGAGCAACGCCGCGUGAGUGAAGAAGGGUUUCGGCUCGUAAAGCUCUGUUGUUGGUGAAGAAGGACAGGGGUAGUAACUGACCUUUGUUUGACGGUAAUCAAUUAGAAAGUCACGGCUAACUACGUGCCAGCAGCCGCGGUAAUACGUAGGUGGCAAGCGUUGUCCGGAUUUAUUGGGCGUAAAGCGAGUGCAGGCGGCUCGAUAAGUCUGAUGUGAAAGCCUUCGGCUCAACCGGAGAAUUGCAUCAGAAACUGUCGAGCUUGAGUACAGAAGAGGAGGGUGGAACUCCAUGUGUAGCGGUGAAAUGCGUAGAUAUAUGGAAGAACACCGGUGGCGAAGGCGGCUCUCUGGUCUGUUACUGACGCUGAGGCUCGAAAGCAUGGGUAGCGAACAGG